AGGGGAGUGAGGCCAUCAUCGUCACCCAACGUCUAGUGUCCCACCAGCUUGCAUUUCUCUUUGUUCUGACCUGAGACCUUCUGGACUGCAUCUUCAGUGAGAUCGCGCUGUCGCGCUUUGAAGGAAGGAGAAAAAUUUGACCUUGCUUCCUAGAGACAGAAGCCGGAUUCCCCAGCGACUGUUGAGCUGCUACCCCAGCCACAUCCCUUUGAGCCCUCCACCCGCCCCCAGUCGGGCACCUGGAUGGUGACACCCUGAGGGGAGUACUCUGCGCCCACAGCCUCGGAGAAGCACUGCACGAAGGCCUGCAGAGGAAGGAGAGGAGGUCCCGGGAGUGAGGCCCGGAGGUCCCGGGAGUGAGGCCCUGAUCCCCAGGCCAGGGCCUGUCCCGGGCCCCCCGCCCCGCAGGAUGGGACGCUCCGGGGUGGUCACAGCUGGGCUGCACCUGGACCCGGCCCUCCCCGCCCACUGACCUGAGCCGCCGACAUCGUGUUGCAGUUGAUAAUAUCCGAGAUGCUCUGGGGACGGAAAUGGAACCGGC